rnacentral:rRNA from 1 species
UAAAAACCCCGACUUCGGAAGGGGUGUAUUUAUUAGAUACAAAACCAAUGCCCUUCGGGGCUCUUUGGUGAUUCAUGAUAACUAUACGAAUCGCACGGCCUUGCGCCGGCGAUGGUUCAUUCAAAUUUCUUCCCUAUCAACUUUCGAUGUUUGGGUAUUGGCCAAACAUGGUUGCAACGGGUAACGGAGGGUUAGGGCUCGACCCCGGAGAAGGAGCCUGAGAAACGGCUACUACAUCCAAGGAGGGCAGCAGGCGCGCAAAUUACCCAAUCCCGACUCGGGGAGGUAGUGACAAUAAAUACUGAUACAGGGCCCUUUCGGGCCUUGUAAUUGGAAUGAGUACAAUUUAAAUCCCUUAACGAGGAACAAUUGGAGGGCAAGUCUGGUGCCAGCAGCCGCGGUAAUUCCAGCUCCAAUAGCGUAUAUUAAAGUUGUUGUGGUUAAAAAGCUCGUAGUUGAACCUUGGGCCUGGCUGGCCGGUCCGCCUCACCGCGUGCACUGGUCCGGCCGGGCCUUUCCCUCUGUGGAACCCCAUACCCUUCACUGGGCGUGGCGGGGGAAACAGGACAUUUACUU